rnacentral:lncRNA from 1 species
ACAAAACGGUAACGUAAGUGACUAUAUAUUUCAAACAUAAGUAACUAAAUGUAACCUGAAACAAAUAAAAAUAACUAUUUUAAUAGUUUAUCCAUUAUAGAGUCCCAAAUUUGCCCGGCCAUCUAGAAAACCAAAACAGAAAAUAAAUCAAAAAAGUCCAAAUCUUAAAUGUCCAGUUACAAAUUACAAACCCAAAAAAAUAAUUAAAAUUACAACCCAAAAAAAUUGAAGGCCCAGUUGCCAAAAU